UACAGAGGGGGCAAGCGUUGUUCGGAAUUACUGGGCGUAAAGGGCGCGUAGGCGGCCUUCUAAGUCGAACGUGAAAUCCCCGGCUCAACCCGGGAACUGCGUCCGAUACUGGAAGGCUUGAAUCCGGGAGAGGGAUGUGGAAUUCCAGGUGUAGCGGUGAAAUGCGUAGAUAUCUGGAGGAACACCGGUGGCGAAGGCGACAUCCUGGACCGGUAUGACGCUGA
rnacentral:rRNA from 1 species